UUGAAUUGAAACGGGGGUGCUCGGUUCGGCCUGCACCGGUGGAGACGCCGUGCUGCGGUCGGCCUUGCGCCCUCUUCCAAACUCAAACCCCUGUGAACCUUUGGGAGGUGCGCACCGCGUGCGGAGCGGCCUCCCGUUUCAACCAACUCUGAUGUCUAUUUGAAUGUUUGAUUCGGGGCAGCCCCGAUGUCUAAUUGAAAA
rnacentral:misc_RNA from 1 species